AUAGUUACUUGGCAGGGGCGAUACCAUGAUCACGAAGGUGGUUCACCCAGGGCGAGGCUCUGCCAUUGCACUUUGGUGGUGCUGACCCUUGCGAAUUCCCCAAAGACGGGAAUCUUGACUGUAUAAUUUCUGGUAGUGGGGGACUGCGUUCGCGUGCUCCCCUG
ensembl:snRNA U1 U1 spliceosomal RNA